rnacentral:rRNA from 1 species
CCUACGGGAGGCAGCAGUGGGGAAUUUUGGACAAUGGGCGCAAGUCUGAUCCAGCCAUGCCGCGUGCGGGAAGAAGGCCUUCGGGUUGUAAACCGCUUUUGUCAGGGAAGAAAAGGCUCCUUCUAAUACAGGGGGCUCAUGACGGUACCUGAAGAAUAAGCACCGGCUAACUACGUGCCACCAGCCGCGGUAAU